rnacentral:rRNA from 1 species
CGAACGCUGGCGGCGUGCCUAAUACAUGCAAGUCGAGCGGAUGACGAGGAGCUUGCUCCUCUGAUUCAGCGGCGGACGGGUGAGUAACACGUGGGCAACCUGCCUGUAAGACUGGGAUAACUCCGGGAAACCGGGGCUAAUACCGGAUAGGUGAUCUUUUCGCAUGAAGAGAUCAGGAAAGAUGGCUUCGGCUAUCACUUACAGAUGGGCCCGCGGCGCAUUAGCUAGUUGGUGAGGUAACGGCUCACCAAGGCGACGAUGCGUAGCCGACCUGAGAGGGUGAUCGGCCACACUGGGACUGAGACACGGCCCAGACUCCUACGGGAGGCAGCAGUAGGGAAUCUUCCGCAAUGGACGAAAGUCUGACGGAGCAACGCCGCGUGAGCGAAGAAGGUCUUCGGAUCGUAAAGCUCUGUUGUUAGGGAAGAACAAGUACCGUUCGAAUAGGGCGGUACCGUGACGGUACCUAACCAGAAAGCCACGGCUAACUAC